UGGGGAAUAUUGCACAAUGGGGGAAACCCUGAUGCAGCAACGCCGCGUGAGUGACGAAGGCCUUCGGGUUGUAAAACUCUGUCUUAGCUGACGAUAAUGACGGUAAGCUAGGAGGAAGCCACGGCUAACUACGUGCCAGCAGCCGCGGUAAUACGUAGGUGGCGAGCGUUGUCCGGAAUUACUGGGCGUAAAGGGAGCGUAGGCGGUUUUUUAAGUGGGAUGUGAAAUCCCCGGGCUUAACCUGGGAAUUGCAUUCCAUACUGGGAGACUAGAGUGCAGGAGAGGAAAGUGGAAUUCCAAGUGUAGCGGUGAAAUGCGUAGAGAUUUGGAGGAACACCAGUGGCGAAGGCGACUUUCUGGACUGAUACUGACGCUGAGGCUCGAGAGCGUGGGGAGCAAACA
rnacentral:rRNA from 1 species